rnacentral:rRNA from 1 species
CAAAGGUGAGCCAGUACAGGAUGGACCCGCGUCUGAUUAGCUAGUUGGUAAGGUAACGGCUUACCAAGGCGACGAUCAGUAGCCGACCUGAGAGGGUGAUCGGCCACAUUGGAACUGAGACACGGUCCAAACUCCUACGGGAGGCAGCAGUGGGGAAUAUUGCACAAUGGGCGAAAGCCUGAUGCAGCAACGCCGCGUGAGUGAUGAAGGCCUUCGGGUCGUAAAACUCUGUCCUCAAGGAAGAUAAUGACGGUACUUGAGGAGGAAGCCCCGGCUAACUACGUGCCAGCAGCCGCGGUAAUACGUAGGGGGCUAGCGUUAUCCGGAUUUACUGGGCGUAAAGGGUGCGUAGGCGGUCUUUCAAGUCAGGAGUGAAAGGCUACGGCUCAACCGUAGUAAGCUCUUGAAACUGGGAGACUUGAGUGCAGGAGAGGAGAGUGGAAUUCCUAGUGUAGCGGUGAAAUGCGUAGAUAUUAGGAGGAACACCAGUUGCGAAGGCGGCUCUCUGGACUGUAACUGACGCUGAGGCACGAAAGCGUGGGGAGCAAACGGGAUUAGAUACCCUGGUAGU